ensembl:lncRNA
ACAAAAGCAGAAUAUACAAGCGAAUAUGGGGCAGUUUGGAGAGAAUGUCUGGAGGCACAUUAUUGUGCUAUUCACAUGUGAGAACUGGCUUGGUGAUGUGCCCAAAGAGCAGCACAUUGAGAGUGAAGGGAAGGCCCUCCAGUGGCUUGUUGAGGGAAAUGUGGGAACAGGUAUCAUGUUCUUGACAACAAGAACAGGAGUGAAAACAAUCAGGUCACAGACUUGCUGGAGAAGAUCUAAGAAAUGGUGGCAGGUAACAUUUUCUAUUUUACACACCACUGAUACUAAAAGCAACAUGGCGACAGCUGAUUACACCAAGACAAACCAAGAGCUCUAUUGCACCAAGGUUGGGUUGGAGGAGUUGAUGUGACUUGUGAAUCAGAAAUGGGACACCAAGAAAAUAGAAAUAAGGAAAACAGCACACAGGUCUGGAGUCAGGUUCUGAAUUGAGGCUCGUCAGUCGGGAUGAAAAGCAAUGCCAAGAAGAAAAUGACAAAUCAAUGGAGAUGUAAGGAGGGGAAAUCAAUGGUCUCAAGAAAGAUGUCUCAUUGCCCUUACAACAUCUGUCCAACCUACCAGGAGCCGAGGUUGGAAAUCCAGUGGGUGGUUGACUCACAGACAAGUGGAAGGACACGCUAGAGAAGGAAUGGUGCAGACGAGAAGUUGCCAUAAUGUACGAUUUCCAGAUGAUGCUUCAGAACCUAAAAUGAGGUUUGUCUGAGCCUGGUGAUGAUGAGAUAGGUGCAUAGUGAAUGCAUGGAUAACAUGGACGGAUCCCACAAGUUCUGGAAUUGGCUCAAACAGCAGUGAAACAGAAGACCAGUGACAGAAAGGAAAUAUCAUUAAUGAGAAAUACAGUAGAGCAAGACCCAAUGAAGGAGGGACAGUGCCCUGAAAAGUAUAAUAUGACAUAGACCACAGUGGAGGCUGCUGAGGGGAGGACAGCCAAUAUUCUGAACCGUCCUCACUUCAGCAGCCUCCUCUGAUAGAGGACUACUCUGAAUGUGGAAUCCAUUGUCUCUUCCCUUUGUAAUGACAUUUCAUUCAUUUUUACUCCAUGUUUCCAAUUACCUGUACGAUUUAGAUUUUUGUUAAACAUAAUAAUGAUAAGACUUUAUUUUAGCAAAACUGUGAAAACGAUGGUUUUAUUCAAUGUGCAAAAAGAAUCACAACAGUUGUUACUAUUCCUUAAUAUUUUUAGUUGUUUACACUUUAUAUGAGACUAAUUCAUUGAAGAUAUCAGAACUCAGGAUAAGAACCAGGCGCAAACAGCUAGAAUCACAGAUGUUUAUUGACCCAAACAAGGGGCAGGCAAAAGACAGGUCAAGGGCAGGCAGAGGUCCGUAAUCCAUGACAGAGUCAAUAAGGUACAGAACAGCAGGCAGACUUGGGGUCAGGGCAGGCAGAGGUUCGUAAUCGGGUCAGGGGCAGGCAGGUACAGAAUGGCAGGCAGGCUCGGGGUCAGGGCAGGCAGAAUGGUCAGAACCGGGGAAACUAAGAAACAGAAACUUGAGAAAGCAGGAAGACGGAAAAGCACGCUGGUAAGACCUGACAAGACGAACUGGCAACAGACAAACAGAGAACACAGGUAUAAAUACACAGGGGAUAUUUGGGAAGAUAGGCGACACUUGGAGGGGGGUGGAGACAAGCGCAAAGACAGGUGAAACCGAUCAGGGUGUGACAGAAGAUCGGUACCUACAGUUCAAUUGUAUUACAGUACAUUGAAUUGCAUAGUAUUGCAUUGUAG